rnacentral:lncRNA from 1 species
AGCAGUGCUGAGAAUUGAACCCAGUGCCUCACACAUGCUAGGCAAGCAUUCUACCACUGAGCUACAACCCCAGCCCCAGAAAACGUACUGUUACAGAGUCUUAGAACUUACUGUUUGCCAGGAUAGUGGAUCAGUAAAAGCAAUGGUUAAUAGGUGAGAAGAGAGUCUUUCACUUCAGUUCUCAUCUGAAAUUAUAAUUCCAUGCUCAAUUCUCCAAAGUAUUUCCAAUCAUCUUUUCCCUUUAUGAUUAUGGAACUGGUGUGUUACUAGAGAGAGAACUUUUUUUGUGUGUAAAAAAGUUUAUUUUGUUUUGUUUCUUUUUUUUUUCCACAAAAAGAAUUUCCUUAAUUCUUGACCUGCUCUGUGGUCACUAGGAGCUGAACCCAUAUAGAAGAAGACUAUAGUGUUUGAAAUAAUUUUGUAUUAGAUUUCUCAUAUUCUGUUAAUGUAAAACUGGAACAGAGGACCAUCUUCUAGACCUAUUCUCUAGGGAUGCUAGUUCACUCAGAAACAAAUAUUUAGCAAGCACCUACUCUAUGAAAAGAUAGUAGAAGUUCUGAAGGGCUAAACCCUAAUGAAUAGGAAAUGACAAUACCCAAGUCAGCCCUCAGAAAUUUAUAAGUUUUUGUUCUUUGAAGUUACAAAGCAGCUUUUGUCAGUUUGACCUACAAAACUGAAGCAAUAAAACUUUUGUUCAUUGCCCCUAUAUAAGAAUAGGUUGUUCCUUAUUAAGAAAUAAAGGACCAUGAUCUCUUUUUUUAACAAAGUUGGUG